CUUGAAAGCAGAGAGAAAAGGCCACUGGGUGAGAGGCCACAGCCAGCCCUGAUCCUGGGGCCUGGCCCCUCUCUCCUGGGCGAAGCAGCAUCCAUCGGGCUCUCCCCACAGCUGCUCCCUUGUGUGCGGGCUCCAGGCCUCUGGAACCCAGAAGAACGGGGCGCAGAGACGACCAGGCUGAUGGCGCCAGGUCCUCGUCCGGCCUUGGCCACACUGGUUCCCACCUGCGUUAGAGGGUCCCGUCUGGCAUCCUUGGCCAUUGGUUACUUGUGGAGACUAUUUCAAUUAGCUCGUUUGUGUCUCCCAGUUAAUAACGGAGAACGGCAAUGGAGCAGAGGAAAUGAGAGAUGGCAGUCACUGCUCAGCAGUGACCCGCAGGGCGUGGACGAAGGAGGAAGGCACCGGAUAUUGUCACAGAGCCUCAUGUCUCUGAUGACUUCUGGACCACUCGGGGGCAUGUGGUUUCUCAGUGGCAGGUGGGACCAUCCCAUCUGUCCUGCCACCCUCGCCUGGCUGACCACAGCCUCCUGUGUCCCCUUCGUUUUGACCUCACGCGGUCCCCACCAGGAGGGCACUGCCUCCUCUGGUACAGUGGAGGAGACUGAGGCUCCAAGGACAGUCCCACCCAGGGUCGCAUGGCGCUGUGCGGUCCAGCGGGUCUCUCAUUGGCCUCCUGACCCUCCAGGCCUGGCUGCCGUGGGCCCUAAAUUCAAUCACAGGAACGAAGCACUUCGAAAUGCACAAGCUGUAAGGUAUUAUGAUGAUGAUAAAAACACAGCCAAUUAUGGUUUUAUGAGGCUGAGCUGCCCUUCUGGAAUUCUCUCUCAUCCAGUGAUCUCAAAGCGCUGGGCUGGUCCAGAAUUAAUUAGGCCCUGCAGCCAAGGACCACAGACGGCACCUAGGAGCACCGAGGGGGCAGGCUGGGGCCAGACAGGAAGCAACGAGCAUUGCUCAUGCCCCUGUGGCUUCAGGCCGGCUCUCCCUGAGCCAGCUGGAGGGAUGGUGGGAAGCUUUGGGGCCUCUCCCUUCCCAACCAGAUCAGGGAUGAAGACCGUCGGCAGGAGGAACAAAGCCAAGGGCUCCACGGUCGACAAGGAGGGAGGGAGGGGCAGUUCCGUCUGGUUUAGGGUUUUCCUGGUCCAGAUCCUGCCCGUCCCUUGUGACUGUGAGCUCCUGCAGGUCAUGGGCCAUGAUCUGAGUCAUGGGGGCUACUGGAAUGGACAAGUUUUGAUGGCUGGAGAAGAGGGAGGGGACAUGGAAGACUGGGGCAUAAGAGGAAAGCCACAGGACCUGCCGCCUUGUCAGGGCUUACUGAGCAAGGUCAAUGAAUAAAUGAUUGAUGGAUGGCCAGACAGGAGCAUCCGCGAUCUUGCAGGACACCGCUUCCCUUGGCCGCCAGGAAGUCGGCGGCAGGGUCCUGAGGUCAGUCGAGCAGCUGGUGGAGUUAGAAUGUGCUGGUUCGGAAGCCGGCGGGCACCAGCUCCCCCCGCGGCCGGACGCCUCGCCGACAGCCGCGUCUCCUGGACAACUUUGGGUCUCGGCAGUUCCUGUCACUCGGGGACCCAGGGGACGCCGGGACCUGCCCGGUCAGGCCUAGCGGGGUUAGGACCCGACAGGGGGUUGGUGGGAGCAGGCAGCUGCGUCCGGUUUCUUCCACUGGGACCACGGGACCCUUAACCCCACCUUGACCCAAAUCGUCCACGCCACCUUCCUAGGCCCGGCGUGGAGGCCACACCGUCCUGGUCAGGAGUGUCCUACCCUCCCCUGGGGUCCCCUAGUCCCUGUGCCUCAGCCUUAGGAACUGUCAUCGUCCCUUGCAUAUUCGUGUCAUCUUAAUCACUUAACUCCUCUUGCGCCCCGAGCGUAUGACCCGGGCCGGGCAUGCUUGGAAGCGCUCUGCGUGCCCCGGGCUGUCCCGGCCACAUGGCAUUUGGAUCCUGACCACUUCUUGCCACCUCCCCCACCUCCCUGGCCCAAGCCGCCCGGCUUUCUGCAGGGGUCCUCCAUGACCCUUUGAUCCCUCCCUUGGCCCCUAAGGUAGCGAUCUUGUUAAAAUCUGAGGCUUGUCGCGCCCUUCCUCUGCUCACCUCCAGUGGCUGCUCCUCAGAGGAAACGGCAGAGUCUUCACCAGACCUGCAGCCCGCCCGUCUCCCUGCUCCACCCCUGCCCUCCCUUCUCUGACCUCAUCUCCCUCCUUCCUUGACUCCAGCCACAAUGGCCUCCCCGCUGCUCCUCAUACUUUGCAGGCAGCCUGAGACCCCAGGGCCUUUGCACUUGCUGUGCUCUGUGCCUGGGACACUCCUUGACCUUGUUUGCAUCCUUCUGUCCUUGAGGGAUUUGCUCACACGAGGGCCUGCUCAGUUAGCCUCCCCUGGCCCCCAUUUACAACCGCUCCCUGACACUCUGUAGCUCUCGCCUACCUGACAUGCUCAAUGGUUUAUGUCUUUAUCUUGCUGCCUCUACCAGGAGGUGAGCCACAUGGUGGCAGAGACUUUGGGUGCUUUGUUCCCUGCUUGAUCCCCCACAUCUGCAACCAGGCUGAGCACUGGCGGGCGCUCCGUGAACAUUUGUUGAACAAGGGAAGGACUAUCCGAGAGGACGGGUGGGACGGUGACCUCCAUUGCACCUAUGGAGAAGCUGCGGGUGGUGGACGUGGACGCAGUUCCUGAGGCUCCCCGCCCUCUGAUUGCGAGACCCAGUUUUUAACUGAGGCCCCCGCUGCCUCCCACGCACACACAGUGCCCCUUGAGGAAGG
ensembl:lncRNA